UUCUCUAACAUGCGACUUAAUUACAUUGUAUUUUAUCUUCCUUCUCUCAUUCAUUAGCCCUAAUUUAUCUAUUGUUGCCGCCGCCUCCACACACCAGACCACCAUCGUCGUCUUCACGACUCACACGCUGCUAGCUGCGGCCAGCCUUCUCUGCCGUCGCCCCUACACGCCGGUGACGCCCCCACACAGCCAGCCUCCACACACCACCGAUGCACCCACAAGCCACCAUCAACAUCGCCUUCAAAACUGCCAAACGUCUUAAACUUUACGUGAUUUUUUCCUUUUUAUCUCAAUUUUUGAAGUUCUUAAUGUUUUAAGGAUUAGCUGCUGCGAAAUCCUAUGAACAAUUUGCUGAUGUCAAACGUUUAUUGUCUUCUUUUGUCACUUGUUUGUUUGUUAUCAAGAAUUAAAAAAUUAGUUAAUUUUUUCUAAGUUUCUUCUGCUUCAUUAGUCCUAAUUGCUAAAUGAUGAAAAAUUAUUGCCUUUUGUCUCUUCUACUUCGUAAAUGCUAAAUCAUGAAAUUUUGGAAAAUUAGAGUAUCAUCAAAAUUAUAUUGGUUUUAAGUGUUGAUCUCUCCUGCUUCGUAAAUGCUAAAUGAUUAAAUUUUAAAAAAUUAGAAUAACAUACAAAUUGGUUUAGGUAUCAGGAGCUUUCAUUUUAUUGAUACUUUUGUUUCUUCUACUUUUGAAAUGAUGAAAUACAGAAUCGCUUGAUAUUCUUGCAGGAAUAUAGAUGCCUCAAAUUUAGUAGAGCAUACACCUCAAGAAGAUGAGAUUAGAGAUGAAGAGUAUGCAGUGAAGAUUUCAAAUUUGGUGAAAGAUUAGUUGUUUCACAAUUGUGUUCCAUUGUAGUGUUAUUUUGAUGAAUUUGAAACGUCUCUUUAUUUAUACAUUUUAUGAAUUAUUA
rnacentral:lncRNA from 1 species